UUACGGUCAAAUCACGCUGAAAACACCGGUUCUCGUUCGAUAACCGAAGUUAAGCAUCGUAGAGCCAGGUCAGUACUAAGAUGGGGACCGCUUGGGAACACCUAGUACUGUAAG
rnacentral:rRNA from 1 species